AGUGGUCAUCAUCCAAACAAUAACGAUUCUGCUCUGCCCUUCCAGAUGUCAGAAUGUUAUAAAGCAUGGAUUAACAAACACUGAUGUCUCUCUACAGACCUUCCUUGUGAACUGAAAACUCUGGUGCUCCACAGCUGACACACGUACCCCACCAGGUGGACUCCAGUGCUGCACACUCAUCCAAGGCGAUGCACACAGAAUAAGCACAAGGCAAUGAGCACAGCAGAUAGACCAGAUUUUCUAAAGGUGGCUAUUUCCCAGCUAUUUCCCUUCUAAAAACCUACCUGGUGCUAAGAAGUGCUUUGGCUGGGAGGGUUUGAGCUCUGGUUGUCAAAACUCCUAGCUGAAGGAAGACUGUU
rnacentral:lncRNA from 1 species